rnacentral:tRNA from 1 species
GACUUUUUAGUAUAUGGAGUAUGUUUGAUUUCCAAUCAAGUGGAUUGAAAGUUA